CUGUCUGAGGAGGAGGAGGAGUGGUAGCUACAGGACAAGUCUGGACAUGAUGCUAUCCCCUCCUUCCUCCUCUCGUUUUUAAGUGCAAACCACAGACUUGCUCUGGAGGUUUCCAUGACAAACAAUACUAAUUAGGGAUCAUUUUCCUUUUGCUUUUUUUCAUGUCAUGAUCAUGUCUGGAGGGUGGAACUGAAAAACAGAUGGUAAGAAGGACAAACUAAGAGCAGAACCAGAUGGAUGAAAACAUAAAGAGAAGAGAGUGAGAAGGAGAGACAGCAGACACUGAGUAGAGGAUGAGAGCGUGGUCCAACUCCCCAAACAGAGAAACAGUUUACCGUACAUCUUGGAAGAUAAUGGAAGUAAAUACAAACCCAACAAUGGCUGUUUCUUCUUGAUGAACUUGGUCGCCUCCUGUGGAACUUCCAGCUCCUCCCCGUCACCAGCCACUUCUGCAAUGGGCUCAACACCUCCUACGUAAGAGGUAGAGGGAAUACAUCAGCCAAAUGAUAUAUAAG